AGGGUCACCGAAAAGACAGUGAUAAGUCCCGGAGCCGCAAAGAUGAUGACAGCUUGUCUGAGGCCUCUCAUUCAAAAAAGACUGUUAAAAAGGUGGUGGUAGUGGAACAAAAUGGUUCUUUUCAAGUAAAGAUUCCCAAAAAUUUUGUUUGUGAACACUGCUUUGGAGCCUUUCGGAGCAGUUACCACCUAAAGAGGCACAUCCUUAUUCACACUGGUGAGAAGCCAUUUGAAUGCGAUAUAUGUGAUAUGCGUUUCAUCCAGAAGUACCACCUGGAACGCCACAAGCGUGUGCACAGUGGUGAAAAGCCUUACCAGUGUGAACGGUGUCAUCAGGUAAGGCUCAUCCCUGCUACAAUACCCCACACACACUUUUCCUUCCCCAAGAAUCAGGGCCACCCUCCACUCCUGCCUGACAAAAGAGCCACCAGCGUUACUCGCCAUAAUAGUUAACACAUCGGGGUGAAGUGCAUCUGUCUGGCCUUAUGCAGCUGAUCAUGGGGAGCAGCAAUUAGAACAUUGUAAUAAUAAUAAUAAUAGCAUUCCAUAUCACUUACUCUAUGCCAGGCACUGUGAGAGCAUACUUUACAUAGAUGAUUUUAUUUAAUCCUCACAUUGACU
rnacentral:lncRNA from 10 species